UACAGAGGUCGCAAGCGUUGUUCGGAUUCACUGGGCGUAAAGGAUGCGUAGGUGGCCAGGUAAGUUUGGUGUGAAAGCUCGGAGCUUAACUCCGAAAAGUCAUUGAAUACUAUCUGGCUGGAGGGUCGGAGGGGAGACUGGAAUUCUCGGUGUAGCAGUGAAAUGCGUAGAUAUCGAGAGGAACACCAGUGGCGAAGGCGACUCGCUGGACAAGUAUUGACGCUGAGGUGCGAAAGCGUGGGGAGCAAACAGG
rnacentral:rRNA from 1 species